GACGAACGCUGGCGGCGUGCUUAACACAUGCAAGUCGAACGGAAAGGCGCUGCUUUUGUGGGGUGCACGAGUGGCGAACGCGGGAGAAACACGUGAGUAACCUGCCCUUGACUGUGGGAUAACUUCUGGGAACUGGGGCUAAUACCGCAGAGAAGCUCCUGCUGCACGGUGGGCGUUGGUAAGUUUCGGCGGUUUGGGAUGGUCUGGCGGCUUAUCAGCUUGUUGGUGGGGUAGUGGCUUACCAAGGCUUUGACGGGUAGCCGGCCUGAGAGGUGGAACGGGGACAUGGGGACUGAGAUACGGACCAGACUCCUACGGGAGGCAACAGUGGGAAAUAUUGCAGAAUGGGGGGAAGCGUGUGGCAGCAGCGCCGGGUGCGGGAUGCCGGCCUUCGGGUUGUAAACCGCUUUCGCCUGUGACGAAGCGUGAGUGACGGUAAUGGGUAAAGAAGCACCGGCUAACUACGUG
rnacentral:rRNA from 1 species